GAUCAUGGCUCAGGAUGAACGCUGGCGGCGUGCUUAACACAUGCAAGUCGAACGAAGCACUUUACCUGAUUUCCUUCGGGGAGUGAUUGUUUCUGUGACUGAGUGGCGGACGGGUGAGUAACGCGUGGAUAACCUGCCUCACACAGGGGGAGUAACAGUUGGAAACGACUGCUAAUACCGCAUAAGCGCACAGCACCGCAUGGUGCAGUGUGAAAAACUACCGGU
rnacentral:rRNA from 1 species